rnacentral:rRNA from 1 species
GAUGAACGCUGGCGGCGUGCCUAAUACAUGCAAGUCGAGCGAACAGACGAGGAGCUUGCUCCUCUGACGUUAGCGGCGGACGGGUGAGUAACACGUGGAUAACCUACCUAUAAGACUGGGAUAACUUCGGGAAACCGGAGCUAAUACCGGAUAAUAUAUUGAACCGCAUGGUUCAAUAGUGAAAGACGGUUUUGCUGUCACUUAUAGAUGGAUCCGCGCCGCAUUAGCUAGUUGGUAAGGUAACGGCUUACCAAGGCAACGAUGCGUAGCCGACCUGAGAGGGUGAUCGGCCACACUGGAACUGAGACACGGUCCAGACUCCUACGGGAGGCAGCAGUAGGGAAUCUUCCGCGAUGGGCGAAAGCUUGACGGAGCAACGCCGCGUGAGUGAUUAAGGUCUUCGGUUCGUAAAACUCUGUUAUUAGGGAAGAACAAAUGUGUAAGUAACUAUGCACGUCUUGACGGUACCUAAUCAGAAAGCCACGGCUAACUACGUG